CUCUUCUUCCCCGCGUCUUUCCAGCCAGCAGCUCCCUCCCGGCAGCAGGCGCGGUGGGCGAUACGGGGGUCAACGAAAGCUCGCUGAGGGGACGCGCAUCACAUGGCAGCUCGUUCCCAGCCCCCCGAGUGUGCUGGGUUUGCUUUCGCAUCACCAAAGAUCUGCUGCUGUCGCACACACUAAUACAAGCAUCGCUUCUGUUGCUUCUGUGGAAAAGCGUGCACGCUGCCGAAUCAGGCUCAGCACGUGAAGGGAGUCUGCUGUGUUUCACAGAUGAGUCACCCAGGAUGGUACAGAUGGUACAGAGUGACGUUUCAAAGAUGUGAAAAAAUACUGAUGAAGCCCAGAUUGAAGAUUAACCUAACAAGGUGAAUGGGGAAAGGCAAGAAUGCUCUAGAUGCCCUUCUGGGAAAGCUGAGGUUACAUUAGACUACACUGAAGGUCUGCAUUAUAGUUCAGUGAAGGCUUCUUGAAUGUGCCAAACUGUGGAAAAUACAUUACGUGACCCUUGGUCUUUGUCUUGAGCCAUUUUCUAGGAUAAGAACAGAGGAUGAGAGCUGCUUGGGGAGGAAGGGUCAUCACUCAGGACUGGUGUAACCUGUUGAAGGUGCCCUAAAGCAUUCACAUGGACUCUGAGUGGACUGGAAGUUUUGGAAAGGGUGGUUCAUCAAAAGAAAAGCAGGAUGCUGUUACUUGAGGAAAUAAGAGAAGAAUCCAGGAAAGCAAGAUCCAGAUGUCUAUAAGAGAUGCCAGAGGAACAAGAAUUCUAAGAAGGAAACUCUACUCAGGAAUGUGAAAUAUUGCUAAGAGAUCAUGAAAAAUCGUGAAAAAAAAUGCCUAUUAAAUUAACCUCCUGGAAGACGCUGACCCACACAAACAGCUUCACUACAAACUGGGGUGUGGUAAGAAUUAUAACACAAGUAGAAAUGGCUGUGAGAAAUCACGGGGGAAAAGCACUUAGAAUAGAAACAAUCAAGCAAAACUUCAUGUAAGAGGAAGCACUCAUGCUGAGUCCUGAAGGAUGGGUAAUAUUUUAAAAACCAAAGCCAGAGAAGCAGAGAGAGGGAGGUCAUCCCAGCUAGCUGCCACAUGAGAAAAAGCAUCAUGGCAGGGCCUUUGGGGUGUGUCCAUUGAGAGCGAACAGUUCACCUUGGGUCUGAGGGCCAGGGGCCAAAUACAAUUGCUGCCUCUGAGGAGGGACUUUCCUUAUCCAAUUUCCAAGUUGUUCAACCAUAACCUACUUGCCUCAGGUUAUUGCCUGCAUAGGCAAAUGAGGGAUAGCUGCCACUGUAGUGAACCAACUCACAUCCUCUGGGAAAGUACCACCCUCUCCUGUUCUUAUACCUAAGGGGCCCCUGGGUGCUCUGUGAGUGAACUCAAUGGCAGAUCUUUCUCCUCUUCCUCCUCUCAGCCUUGGCCUUCCCUCUGCCUCUCUGUGUGGCUUGGGCUUGCAGUGCUGAGUGUGCCACUUGGGGCUGCUGAGCAUAGGGCUGCUGCUCUUUCUUCUCACUGACUGCAGCAGAGGAACACCCAGCGUCAAUCACCUGGGCCACAGCAGCUCAGGUGUUGCUCAGCUUUCACUGGACUCACAUUUUACCCCCCUUCACUUUUUAUCCUGGGAAAAGUUACAUUCAAAGGGAUAGCAGGAUGCCCUCAUUUGGAUGGAAGACAAUUUAGGUGACUCUACUGUAUUAUAUUCAAAUAGCCUCCUACCAUGACUCUCAGAACAAACCUAAGCAUCCUGAAUCUCUGACUACUGGGGUAUGUUCUUCUCCAACCCAGUACAAGCUUAGAAAUGGCUAUUGCUUGGUGGUCUCCAUUUUAGUGACCAAAAGCCAGCACCUAUUCAUGUAAUCCAUAUCUUAUCACCAAGCUCCUAGGACCUUCCUGCUACCUGGACCCCUGUGGCCAAGUCCGUUACCCACUCAGAAAGAUUGCACAGAUUAAAACUCGGGGUUGAUCUCUUACUUAUAACAUACACUUGAGGAUCCUUGACAUAGCAUAAGUAAUAAAGUCUUUAAUGAAGGUCACUGAGGGCAUUUGAGCAGGGGUAUGCCAUAAACAGGACCAUCCUUAGAGUCAAAAAAAUUGCACCUGGCAGUGGUUUACUAAUAGAUCUGGGAGAGCAGAGGCGGGAAAUGGUGAGUUGCUAGGAGACUGAUGGGUCCACAGAGAGAAACUCAGAACCAGAGACAUGGAGGUAGCUAUAGAAAAGUGGGGAUUGGGUCUAGGUUCUAGAGACUGUUCUUUUGGAUAAACCAUGAGACUGAAGAUAAGAGAGAUAGAGAGGAAGGGAGCGAGAGAAGAAGGAAGGAAUUCUAUGGAAACAGAAAUAGAGUUAGGAAACUUAACAUAGGAGGAGGGCCUAAAAACAUGUAGCCCUCAGGACACAAAGAUCCCUAAUGGCCGAAGGAGCUGGGCUGGGAGCAGGUAUGCUCCCUGCAAAAGCCUGAGGCAGAUAUACAAGUGAGAAUCUGGGCCCAGGCCUGGACUCCCAUCAGUGACCAGUGGGAAGAACAGUGUCUGCCUGCCUGGGAGGCCCCUGACCAGGGUGGGAGAAAGUAGCCCCUGUAGGAGAGCAGAAUCCUAUUGUGUACAGGGCAAUUUUUUUCCUGGAGGCUUGAGCUGCCUGUUGCAAUACACGGGGUGCCCAUCUUUGGUAAGUGGAUACCCAAUGCACUUGAUCUUUCAAGGGAUGCCCCAUUCACUGACAUCUGAGACUCACAUCUCUAUCCCUGCUCUGAGGGGCUCUGUGGUCUGCCAUCCAUCUCUUCCGAUUUUCUCUCCUUCAUGGAACUGGGGGCAAAAUAUGGAAAACAGCCUUGUUUAUCCAGUCUCAGAGCAAGAUGUUUUAGACCAUCGGUGAUAGGGUCCCUUUAGAUGUACCAACUUCACUUUGCCAAGCAUGACGAAAGACCUCUUCUGUUAUUGUGCUGGGCCCAGAAGGGUAAUCCCUUGCCCCAGGAAAGGGGGGCCCUUUUUCACAGCCCUGUUUUUGAGAAAAAAACAACUCUCCUGAGCAAAAGUCCACUGACUUCAUGCAGCACAAAAGGCUAGGCAGGAUGAGCAAUGACAAUCCCAUAGAAUUCCUGCCCCAGCUCCUGGGAGAGGGGAUGCAGAGGGUUCCCAGUGAUGGGUUUCUGAAUCACUAUCAGAAACAAACAAGUACGUCCUUAAACAAGUCAGGGUACCAUAACCAUAGUGAAGUUACCUUUCU